rnacentral:misc_RNA from 1 species
GGAAGGAUCAUUACAACGUAUCCAACGUUUCAACCAACCCCAGUGAACUUGUUCCCUCUCCCUCGACGAUGUUGCUGUUGCAGCGUAGAAGUGUGCGUCUUUUUGGACGUAUGCAGACGGUUGCCAGUGAUGGAAUUGAGGCUUGUUGCUCUCUCGCUCUCUCGACUGCGUGUCGAAGACGAGUGGAGUCGACUCAUACAAACCAAUGUCACCUAUAACCAUACGACACUCUUCAACCAGUGUCAAUCAUGAUAUUAUUUUUCGUUCGACGCAGUUCGACUCACCUCGACUCGUCGUUUCACGUUUAUUUAUAUUAACGUGCAUAACAACUCUUUGCGAUGGAUGUCUUGGUUCUCGCACCGAUGAAGAACGCAGCGAAAUGCGAUACGUAAUGCGAAUUGCAGAAUUCCGUGAAUCAUCAAAUCUUUGAACGCAAAUGGCGCUCUUGGGUAGACCUAGGAGCACGUUUCUCUCAGUAUCGGUUCAACUUCCUCUCAGCAGCGUGUGGGGCUAAGUCAAAUUAGCAACACAUGUGAUGGCUGGUAAAUGAGAGUCGGAAUGCUACGACAUUUCGUCUCUUGAAAUACAUCGAGUUUGUACUCCCCGCCUAUCAUGGCACGUAGGAGUCUAUCAUGAGUAUGCUCUCGUAGCAUACUUCCCCCAUCUGCACUGACUGAUUGCAGGCUUCUAUGAGGCCCGUAGUUAGACAGCCACGAGCGAUUCAGCGAUGGUGCCCUUGCUUUUUGGCAGCGGUACUAACGUAUGAUGCUCGAUCCGAUGCGCUCUCUAUGACGUGAAGAAUGACCUGCGUGGUCUCUCUUUCUCGACGUCGUGGCUGUAGUGUGAAUGUGAUCGAAUAUUGUACGGCAGCGGUGAGUGGUUUGAGUGUGAUUGGGUGAUAGAUGGAGCGUUUGCUAUUGGGCAUAUCAGAGUCAAGCAUUGGUAAUCCAUGAUGAGUAUGUGUCUCGACCUCGUGUCGAUGUCAUAGGACUCUCUCUGUUUUCGAUCUGAGAUGAAGCGAGACAACCCCCUGAAUUUAAGCAUAUUAAUAAGGGGAGGAAAAGAAACUAACAAGGAUUCCCCUAGUAACGGCGAGUGAAGCGGGAAGAGCUCAAUUUGAAAAUCGACUACCCAAACGGGUCGUCGAAUUGUAGCCUAUAGACGUACUAUCAGCUGUAAUCUGGGUAUAAGUUCUUUGGAAUGAGGCACGUAACAGGGUGAGAGUCCCGUCUACGACCCAAAGAUUGCAGCGUACGAUGUAUGUUCUUCGAGUCGAGUUGUUUGGGAUUGCAGCUCUAAAUGGGUGGUAAGUUUCAUCUAAAGCUAAAUAAUGGCGAGAGACCGAUAGCGAACAAGUACCGUGAGGGAAAGAUGAAAAGAACUUUGAAAAGAGAGUGAAAAGUACCUGAAAUCGCAAAGAGGGAAGCGCUGAAAACUAGUGUGAUGCCAUGCUUUACGCACUUCGCCUUCUGACAUACGGCUUCGUAAUUGGAAACUUUACUUGGACGUGUGAAGGGGUGGUGAGGUGUUUUGAGUAUGGUAUUGGUCCAGAUCCAUUCGUAUUGUGGGAGAAGGCUUAGGGAAAGGUAGGAGAGUUCGCUCUCUGUUAUAGUCCUUAGGCUCUACCUCGGCAUGGAUGGAGGAAGAAAUGGUGCGCCGCUUGCGGCUUGAUCUUGCGUUCCUGAUGUGCGUCGUUGGUGGCGAGAGCAAUGCUCUGGUCACUACGAUCGUAUAUUACUGAGCGUAACGAUCCGACGUGCCAUCACGAUCUGGUACGAAAUGGUUUUCAUCGACCCGUCUUGAAACACGGACCAAGGAGUCUAACAUCUAUGCAAGUAUUUGGGUGCUAAACCCUGAUGCGCAAUGAAAGUGAAGACAGCUUCGUGCUGUUGAGGUAGGAAGUCUCCGGCAUGACGGGGAUGGCACUAUCGACCGAUCAUCACUUGUGAAAGAUUUGAGUCAGAGCAUAUCUGUUGGGACCCGAAAGAUGGUGAUCUAUGCCUGAACAGGGUGAAGCCAGGGGAAACUCUGGUGGAGGCUCGUAGCGAUACUGACGUGCAAAUCGUUCGUCUGAUUUGGGUAUAGGGGCGAAAGACUAAUCGAACCAUCUAGUAGCUGGUUCCCUC